rnacentral:rRNA from 1 species
CGGGGGGAGCAAGCGUUGUUCGGAUUUACUGGGCGUAAAGGGCGCGUAGGCGGCCACCGCAAGUCGGUUGUGAAAUCUCCGGGCUUAACCCGGAAAGGUCAAUCGAUACUGCGGGGCUAGAGUGCAGAAGGGGCAACUGGAAUUCUCGGUGUAGCGGUGAAAUGCGUAGAUAUCGAGAGGAACACCUGCGGCGAAGGCGGGUUGCUGGGCUGACACUGACGCUGAAGCGCGAAAGCUAGGGGGAGCGAACGGGAUUAGAUACCCCGGUAGUCCUAGCCUUAAACGAUGAAUGCUUGGUGUCUGGGGUUUUAUAGUCCCCGGGUGCCGUCGCUAACGCUUUAAGCAUUCCGCCUGGGGAGUACGGUCGCAAGACUG